rnacentral:rRNA from 1 species
UACGAAGGGGGCGAGCGUUGUUCGGAUUUACUGGGCGUAAAGGGCGCGCAGGCGGCUUUGUUUGUCAGGCGUGAAAGCCCCGGGCUUAACUCCGGAAUUGCGCCUGAAACUACAUGGCUAGAGCAUUGGAGAGGGUAGCGGAAUUCACGGUGUAGCAGUGAAAUGCGUAGAUAUCGGGAGGAACACCAGUGGCGAAGGCGGUUGCCUGGGGCUUUGCUGACGCUGAUGCGCGAAAGCGUGGGGAGCGAUCCGG